AGUGAACGCUGGCGGCGUGCUUAACACAUGCAAGUCGAACGAGAACGGGUUAUAGCUUGCUAUAAUUGUCAGCUAAGUGGCGCACGGGUGAGUAAUGUAUAGGUAAUAUGCCUCUUACUAAGGGAUAACAAAUGGAAACGUUUGCUAAUACCUUAUACUCCUUAUUAACAUAAGUUAAUAAGGGAAAGAUUUAUUGGUAAGAGAUUAGCCUGUAUUGUAUCAGUUAGUUGGUGGGGUAAUGGCUUACCAAGACUAUGACACAUAACUGGUUUGAGAGGAUGAUCAGUCACACUGGAACUGAGACACGGUCCAGACUCCUACGGGAGGCAGCAGUGGGGAAUAUUGCACAAUGGACGAAAGUCUGAUGCAGCAACGCCGCGUGGAGGAUGACACAUUUCGGUGCGUAAACUCCUUUUGUAUGAGAAGAUAAUGACGGUAUUAUAUGAAUAAGCACCGGCUAACUCCGUGCCAGCCGCCGCGGUAAAAC
rnacentral:rRNA from 1 species